ensembl:lncRNA
GCGCUUCUAAAAACCAGAGAAUCCUUUUCAAUGUGAAAAGGUUUGCACUUAAUUUAUUAGUCAAAAAUCAACAAAUGAACAGGAAAUCGUACAUUUAUUGUCCUUUCUAACAACUCGUACACACAAAUCCUGGUAUCACAAAAAUAUCUUCGGUAAUGAUGGAAUUACACUUGAAAAUACGACGGAGCCAAGGACCUAUUAAAAGACUCACCAUGACUGGGAUCAGGUUAUUAAAUGUACAGAUGUUUUCAGUCAGCAAGUAAAGCAUUUAUUGAAGCAAACAAAGUUAUUUUUUUAUUCCUCAUACUACUGAUGGUGUGCCUACAGACCUGAAUGAUGGUUUUCACAGUGCCCUAAGAAGCAGGUACGCACAUCCUUUGCAGUCAGUCCAAUCUGGUGUUGAGGUCAAUAUUAUUUUUUAUAUAAGAGUUGAAAUGUUGGACGACAGCCACGAACAAAAACAGACAGAAAGAGUCAUUAUUUUCUUCUACAACAAUUUUAAAAAAAAUCAACUGCAUGUUUCAAAGUGCUAAGUUUUGCCCUUAAAGCUUGAUUGCGUGAAACAGUUCAGCAUCGACCAAUCUGAAAGGGAUUUGCUGCUACAGUACUUUUUGUAGUAACAUGAAAGUAUCGACAGGAACCAAGCAGUAGCACGUGCAUGAGGACAGCAGUGGCGAUGAUGAUGCCGUACAUCCACGAAAACACAGUCUGCCUCCACAAAUCCGACAUUUUUUCACAUGGAAUUAACAUUAUACGUCGCCAAUUUUACAUAAAACAACACUGAGCUGAACCAAACCAAUAAACUGGCAGGUAUCUGACCUACUGAAGGUCCAUAAUUCUGGAGCUGACCAGGCUUAAACCUCGCUGGGAAAGAUUUUUGGGCUUUUAUUGUGAAAAGCUGGGAAUUACAUGCUUUUGUUGGUUGUUUAUAUGGAUAAUUUGAGUGAAGCGAUCCUUUAAAGAAGCGUUUAUCCACCCUUUUUUUGACUAAAGUUGACCUGCAGCCUAUAAAUUUGGAAUAAUCCAAAUGUUUUUUAACUCUGUUGAUUACACAAAUCUCUAUAUAUUCACACACUUAUUUAUCCUAGAUUUGCUGUUUUUUUCCAGUAAGUUUGGUCCAAUUUACAUCUAUGUUAGCACCAUUUGGAGCAGCAAAAGCUGGACAUUUCAACCACUUAUUCACUCAAUCUGCGUUCUAAGUAGUCGCCACAUUUGUGUAAAACUGUGACACUAAACAUACACAUAUCAUCCUCAGCCUCAUAAAAAAAAAUAAAAAUAAAAAAAAAUCACAAUCCUGUUUGUGGAAGUGUCUUUUUUCCUGGAGCACAAAUUCUAUUUAUUUCAAAUAAGCUGAGCUACUUCAGUCUUUCGAGGUGCCGCUGGGGUACAAGUACUCCCGUCUGGGGAAUCGCGUCUUUAAAGGGCCACAUUAUUACAGCUCAUUGUGACAAAAGAACUUGUUUUUACAUUAACACCAGUAGUUUGGCCACUUCAGCACCGUGGACAGCUCCAUACUCAUCCUCAAUACUGACAAAAGAAUACCAGAAGAGCCAUGUUAGCUGCAACAUCUACUCAGAAAACAGGACUUUUACAGACGACACAUGCACAAAACGACCAAACGGAGAAGCCGUGCAUCAUGUCACUCAACGUUCUGUCUCUUAAUCCUGUAAAAGAUGCCACUGAUUGGAGCACAGAAGCACAGAGGAACGUCUUAGCAGAUUUCUUUGAUGCUAAAACAUACAAAAGCAGCUUUACACAAAACAAUUCAAACUGCCUGCCCUCUAAUUAAUGUUUUAAAGAUGGGCUCAGCUCAUUACGUGUGGCGUUUUGAAAAGAGGAAGCACUGUAGGCAGAAAAUUCAUUAAAAUUCCAGCAAACCAACAACAUAAAAAAGUAUCAAAGACGACAGGACCUCAAAUCAAAACCAGCCUCCCUCCCUCCUUCUCUCUUCCUCGUAGUGGCACAAGCUGUUCAUCAAAGGGGGGGAGACCUAGUUUGAAGAUCAGCCCCGAGAGACGUCGGUACUAAACCAACCCUUUCCUGUGAUGCUCUGUUAUUUUCCCUACAAAGAAAGUGAGCUUGGUCCCACAGAGGCAGUGAGUGGAGCACGGUGUUUUCUUUGGAACAAACAGCACUGCAGCACAUCAGCUAAUAGAGCCUGGCUCCCAGAGGGGAGCUCGAUAUAGGACACUCUUCCUCUUCCUCCACUUGAGCUAUUAAUACACCCAAACAAAAGAAAAGAGGCUUAAUGAGGCAGCAACGGGGAACUCAUGUGAACUAAGUUAGACAAGAGCUUUGUAAUGUUUAGCUCCAAGGAUUCCAGCUUUUUCAUGAGGGCAAUGGAUCCUACUUUGCUGUUUCUAUUGCAGCUGAUGCUAUGGGAAGUACAGCGUAUGUACAUUGUGUUACGCCCUUUUAAGCCCGUUUGAUGGGGGUCUUUUUGAAACGGCAAAAGCGACACAAUAGCGAAAAAAAACAGAUGCGUAGUUUAAAGCAUGAUAAUGUGCAGGAUAUGGAUACGCGUGACCCUAUGAAGAACGUUGUUAACGAAUCGUAUUUCAACAAAUAGAAACUGUGAUAUAUGAAGCAUUUCUUUGCAUAUUUGCAUGAAAGGAAAUAUCUCAUGCAGCUUAAAGCAGCUACCUUGAAGUUAAUGCUUUGGUUCUGAUUCAGAGUGCAUUAAAAUGGAAGAAGAUGAGGGAGUGUGUUUAAAUGCACACAGCAGUCCGACUAAGAAUUUGAAACUUUUUCUAGGCAGCUUCACACACUGAUCACAAGUUACCCCUGUACACAUCAACAAAAUACAGUAAUUCAAUUAUUACCAUGGAAACAGACUAAGACAUACUACUAACAGAGCAUGGCGUUUCACUUGCCUAACUAACACCGGCAUUUUAACACUGGGAUAUUAAAAUAUUUAGGCUGUUGUAUAAAAAAAAUAAUUAAA